CAGAAAAUAGUUUAAAAAAAACUUUAGCUUUGGGUGCUAAAAUUCAAAUUUUCUUUUGUUUUCUGA
rnacentral:tRNA from 1 species